rnacentral:lncRNA from 1 species
AAAGCAAUUUUUCAAAUUUUUAUGUGAUUUUCGGAGUUAUAAGUCAGCACACACUAAAACACACCAAAACAGCCUAAAAAACACCUAAAAACAGCAAGAAACAACAUUGGGAAGUAUGAGUGAGAAAACCCUACGAAUUUGCAUCAAAACACUUUGGUUACCCCCCCACACUUAAACCAAACAUUGUCCUCAAUGUUUCAAAGCAUAACUAACACAAA